ACAGAGGGGCCACAGUGAGGUUUGAGGCAUGUGUCCUCAUGACUGGAAGGACCCAGGGCAGGCCAGAUGCCCUAGGAUGCAAGAUGGAAGAGGUCACACACAGUCUCGACUGAAGCUGCAGAAGUGAGAGAUCAGCAUUGCAUUUUCCAGUGUGAAGUUGGAAUUCCUUCUCUACAUUAUUCCUAAAUCAUCCCUAGUGUAUCGUGUAAUUCAGAUGUGUAUCAGGCAAUCCUUUGAGUAAAUGAGAACAGGAAAGGGCAGAGGAAAAGUAGUGUAGGUCAUUGAGGGAGGGUACAAAGUUGUUCUCCACACAUUCAGAGACUCAGCCUCUUGCCAUCCUUUGAUGCCACCAUCUUCAACACGUGACCUCCAAGUUUUCUCUGGAACAGGAAGAGCGAACAGAAGAUUAAAUGUGAGAGAUUUUAUGGCCAAGGGGUGGCACAUCAUCACUUCUGUCCACUUUCCCUUGUUCAGAACUCAACCACAAGAUGCCAAGCUAUUUGCUGAGGAUCUGGACAUUUAGCUGUGUGUCCAGUGAGGAAGAAAACUGGGUUUGGUGAACACAUACCAUUGUCUCUGCCAUGGAAGUGAUAAUUUACACUCCAGCUGGUGAUCGAUCAUCUCAGAAUGGUGCAUGAGGUGAGCUGACAACGGCAGCCAGGGGAAGGAACGCGAGGGCCCAGGAUGGAAAUGAGAGCUUCAAAUGUGAGAACACAUUCCAGCUGCAGGAUCAGAGGACUUUUCCUACAGCCCAUAAGUGCCUGCAGCUCUAUCGGAUUUGCAAAUCUACAAAAGAGAGCACAUCCUAUUGUUCCCGGUUUUGAGUUUUUUUAAUAGUAUGUCUUGUAAAAUGCUGGUUGCUGGUGGACAGGGGUGUUUUACAGAUAGGUGUGACUCAGGAGGGGAAAUGGGUGGGCAGAGACAGCCACAAGGAAUUCCACACAUGAAGGAAAUGCUCCCACUUGUGUUUUCUAUUUGUGUUUUAAAUUUGGGGAGCGACUCACAGGCACUCAGCAAAAGUAACUAAUUAUAUUAACCUUAUCAGUAGUGAGGUUUCCUGGUCUCUCAUCAGACACUCAGCUCACUGGCUGGUAUUUAAUUGGGAGCCUGGUGGCCAGUGAAAACAGUGUGGGAUGAGUCACACUUUAACAAGUUUUUAUAGUACAGCAACCUUGCUGUAUAAUAGCCAGACAUUAUUAAAAUUCAGAUAUGGUACACUGACUUGUUUGUUUUCCUUAUUCACAUGAAACAGAUGCUCAGGACUCAUUUUACUUACACACAGUAAAUGAGGGUCAGCUGUGUUGAGGGAAGUGAGUACUUUGUUCUGGAAGGAUAGAUGUUGUAGCAAUUGUCUUGCUCUGAUUGUAUUUGAAAAGAAUGAAUGUUGUUAGUACAAUUUGGUAUUCUUCCAAUGCCUAGUUGGAGUUCAAGGGAUAUAAAACUGGGCGCUUGAGGAGUGGGAUGGAAAAGGAUGGAGAAGGAAGGUCAAAUAUGGCUUUGAAGGGGAUCAGCAGAAGCCAGAGGCCGCAGUGGUGAACACUCCUUGUGAAUGGCCCUUUGCACCCACGGCUUGGUGAACCCAGCAUGGACCGUGGAGAGAGGACCUGCCUAAAAACCAGAGACGGGGUUUGCCUCUCCGCAUCACCACUGGCUUGCUGCAUCAAGAAUCUGCCUUUCAGCUUCUUCACCUGAAACAAGAGACAGCUCUUGGCCUGUUACUGGGCUUUGGUGGAAACUGAAAGUUUGACUAUGGAUCAUCAAGUCACCAUGCAACCUGAACUGCCUAUCAUGAACUGGGUGCUUUCUGACCCAUCUAGCCAUAAAGUGGGUCAUGCACAGCAGCAUUCCAUCAUCAAAUGGAAGUGGUAUAUACGUGAUUGGGCUUAAGCAGAUCCUGAAGGCCAAGUAAGUUACAUAAGGAAGUGGCUCAAAUGCCCAUGAUCUCCACUCCUGCCACCCUACCUUCUCUCCUCCAGCCUGCACCAAUGGCCUCAUAGGGAGUUCCCUAUGAUCAGUUGACAGAGGAAGAGAAGACUAGGGCCUGGUUCACAGAUGGUUCUGCACGAUAUGCAGGCACCACCUGAAAGUGGACAGCUGUGGCACUACAGUCCCUUUCUAGGAUAUCCCUGGAGGACAGCGUGAAAGGAAAUCUUCCCAGUGGGCAGAACUUCGAGCAGUACACCUUGUUGUGCACUUUGCAUGGAAGGAGAAAUGGCCAGAUGUGCAAUUACAUACUGACUUAUGGGCUGUAGCCAAUGGUUUGGCUGGAUGGUCAGGGACUUGGAAGUAGCAUGAUUGGAGAAUUGGUGACAAAGAAUGUUGGGGAAGAGGUAUGUGGAUGGACCUCUCUGAGUUGUUAAAAGCUGUGAAGAUAUUUGUAUCCUAUGUGAGUGCUCACUGACAGAUGACCUCUGCAGAGGAGGAUUUCAAUAAUCAAGUGGAUAGGAUGACCCAUUUUGUGGACACCACUCAGCCUCUUUCCCCAGCUACUCCUGUCAUCGCCCACUGGGCCCAUGAAUAAAGUGGCCAUGGUGGCAGGGGUGGAGGUUAUGCAUGGGCUUAGCAACAUGGACUUCCACUCACCAAGGCUGACCUGGCUACGGCCACUGCUGAGUGCCCAAUUUGCCAGCAGCAGAGACCAACACUGAGACUUUGAUAUGGCACCAUUCCUCGGGGUCAUCAGCCAGCUACCUGGUAGCAGGUUGAUUAUAUUGGACCUCUUCCAUCAUGGAAAGGGCAGAGGUUUGUCCUCACUGCAAUAAACACUUACUCCAGAUAUGGGUUUGCCUAUCCUGCAUGCAGUGCUUCUGCCAAGACUACCAUCCAUGGACUCACAGAACGCCUUAUCCACUGUCAUGGUAUUCCACGCAGCACUGCCUCUGAACAAGAAACUCACUUUACAGCUAAAGAAGUGUGGCAGUGAGUUCAUGCUCAUGGAAGUCACUUGUCUUACCAUGUUCCCCAUCAUCCUGAAGCAGCUGGAUUGAUAGAAUGGUGGAAUGGCCAUUUGAAGUUACAAUUACGAUCAAUUACAAUGCCAACUAGAUGAUAAUACUUUGCAUGGCUGCGGCAAAGUUCUCCCAAAGGUUGUGUAUACUCUGAAUCAGCGUCCAAUAUAUGGUACUGAAUCUGCCAUAGGCAGGAUUCACAGAUCCAGGAAUCAAGGGGUGGAAGUGGAAGUGGCACCACUCACCAACACCCCUAGUGAUUCGUUAGCAAAAUUUUUGCUUCCUGUUCCCUCUACAUUACGUUCUGCUGGCCUAAAGGUCUUAGUUCUAGAGGGAGGAAUGCUGCCACCAGGAGACAUGACAAUGCCAUUAAACUGGAAGUUAAGAUUGCCACCUGGACACUGUGGGCUCCUCCUACAUUUAAGUCAACAAGCUAAGAAGGGAGUUACAGCAUUGGCUGUGGUGAUUGACCUGGACUGUGAAGAUGAAAUCAGUCUACUAUUCCACAAUGGAGGGAAGGAAGAGUAUGUAUGGAAUACAGGAGAUCCAUUACGGUGUCUCUUAGUAUUACCAUGACCUGUGAUUAAGGUUAAUGGGAAACUACAACAGCCCAAUCUGGUCAGGACUACAAAUGACCCAGGCCCUUCAGGAAUGAAGGUUUAGUUCACUCCACCAGGAAAAAAGCUAUGACCUGCUGAGGUGCUUGCUGACA
rnacentral:lncRNA from 1 species